GAUGAACGCUGCGGCGUGCCUUAUACCUGCAAGUCGAGCGAACAGACGAGGAGCUUGCUCCUCUGACGUUAGCGGCGGACGGGUGAGUAACCCGUGGAUAACCUACCUAUAAGACUGGGGUAACUUCGGGAAACCGGAGCUAAUACCGGAUAAUAUAUUGACCCGCAUGGUUCAAUAGUGUAAGACGGUUUUGCUGUAACUUAUAAAUGGAUCCGCGCCGCAUUAGCUAGUUGGUCAGGUAACGGCUUACCAAGGCAACGAUGCGUAGCCGACCUGAGAGGGUGAUCGGCCACACUGGAACUGAGACACGGUCCAGACUCCGACGGUAGGCAGCAGUAGGGAAUCUUCCGCGAAGGGCGAAAGCCUGACGGAGCAACGCCGCGUGAGUGAUGAAGGUCUUCGGAUCGUAAAACUCUGUUAUUAGGAAAGAACAAAUGUGUAAGUAACUAUGCACGUCUUGACGGUACCUAAUCAGAAAGCCACGGCUAACUACGUG
rnacentral:rRNA from 1 species